CAUCUCACUGAACACAAGGGGCAAGCGCAGAGACACGGUUACACACCCAGACCAGAUCCAAUCCCCAGCUCACACAGGAUCAGUAUUAACGUUUACAGAGCACUGUGGUAUUACAUUUUUAAGUUAAAGUGUACAAGUCUGUGUCAAGUGUACACAACAAGUGUCAUAAAUACACUCAUAACAUUCAGGAAGGAGCAAAGUGAGAUUGAUACUGACGGGUCGCUGGAUUUGGGAACGAGCUCUCCCAGUUCCUUAAUGCGGUCAUUGAUGUUGAAUCUCCUCCGUCUCUCGACUGUGAAGGAAUAACCUCGCUUAGUAACAUAGUAGUAACACUAAUUAUUAAUAAUACUGUCUAAAAACACAAACCACCCCAAUUUUUUUAUUUUUACUGUUCUGACUUUCACCUAAUGCUCAUUUAAAAAAAUCUUCAUGCAUACUUUGGGGCUGAUUUACUUUUUAAGCAAAACAGGCUUUCAUUAGAACUCCUUAGUCCUGAUGAUUAUCUGUUCAUGACAAGCCAUAGAGUAAUCAGAUGUGCUUAAAAAGUCACUGGUUACCUUCUACUUUCAGCUCACGACUAAUGAGAAUAUGGAAAUGAAAGUUCAAUUUGAUUCAGAAACCACAGUCAAAGGUUUGGAGCAAGAGCAAAAAUAUAAAACUCACUGAGGUUGUGAUUGUCUUUUUUCUGCCGUUCCUUGAUGAGAGCUUUAGCCUCAGCAUCUGAAAACAUUCACAACAUCAUGGAAUGAGAAGAUUUUCGCAAAUACCCCACACUGCUCAGCAGGAAUAUGAAAAAUAAUUGGCAGAUUUCUAAAAUUGGGUCUUAUAAUGGAAAUUAACUUAUUGUCUCCAUCUACCACUAUGGCAAGUAAAGCACAAUUUAUAUUUUUUUGACAGAUUUAAAAUCUAUGCGACACUCACGAUAACUGCUUAAUUUCAAAGAAUGACGCUCAGGAGAUGUCUGUGAAGCACCAACUGUCAACGGAAGCGGUACAGAUGGAAUUACCUCCUCUUUGUUGGAGCUGAGGCUCAGCACAGCCAGGGGGCUGCUGGGAGUGCUGCUGGCGGCCGGGGCCAGCUCGGGGGCGGAGCCUGACUGGGGCGAGGGUGACAUGGCCAGCGUCUGACUGGCCACUCUGUUGCCGAGGGUGUGGGAGAGGUAUUGCUUCACCUGCUGCCUCUGAGCCUGCUGGAUGUGAUACUUAGUCGGGUUUUCCAGUCUUACAGCAGAGCACACAGAGUUCUUCUCCAUUAGCACACCUACCUUCAGCACCUCCACGGGGACCUGUGUGGUCGUGGGCCGAGUGUUGGGCAGAGAGGACGAGACGGAGAUGGCGGGAGUGGAGUCGAUGG